rnacentral:rRNA from 1 species
GACGAACGCUGGCGGCGUGCCUAAUACAUGCAAGUAGAACGCUGAAGAGAGGAGCUUGCUCUUCUUGGAUGAGUUGCGAACGGGUGAGUAACGCGUAGGUAACCUGCCUUGUAGCGGGGGAUAACUAUUGGAAACGAUAGCUAAUACCGCAUAACAAUGGAUGACACAUGUCAUUUAUUUGAAAGGGGCAAUUGUUCCACUACAAGAUGGACCUGCGUUGUAUUAGCUAGUAGGUGAGGUAAUGGCUCACCUAGGCGACGAUACAUAGCCGACCUGGGAGGGUGAUCGGCCACACUGGGACUGAGACACGGCCCAGACUCCUACGGGAGGCAGCAGUAGGGAAUCUUCGGCAAUGGGGGCAACCCUGACCGAGCAACGCCGCGUGAGUGAAGAAGGGUUUCGGAUCGUAAAGCUCUGUUGUAAGUCAAGAACGGGUGUGAGAGUGGAAAGUUCACACUGUGACGGUAGCUUACCAGAAAGGGACGGCUAACUACGUG